UACGUAGGGUGCAAGCGUUGUCCGGAUUCAUUGGGCGUAAAGAGCUCGUAGGCGGUUCGAUAAGUCGGGUGUGAAACCUCCAGGCUCAACCUGGAGACGCCACCCGAUACUGUCGUGACUAGAGUCCAGUAGGGGAGUGUGGAAUUCCUGGUGUAGCGGUGAAAUGCGCAGAGUAUCAGGAGGAACACCAGUGGCGAAGGCGGCACUCUGGGCUGGCACUGACGCUGAGGAGCGAAAGCGUGGGGAGCGAACAGG
rnacentral:rRNA from 1 species